AGCCGGGUCCUGCGCAACGGAAGCCUGCGAACUCCGCCAGGCCCGGAAGGGAGCAACGGUAAGUGGGUCCUUCCGUGUGUUGCAGGUAGCCUGGCUGCC
rnacentral:SRP_RNA from 1 species